rnacentral:lncRNA from 1 species
GCUCGGCUCGCCGCACUCAUCUCUCUCCCUCCUCUGCGUGCUGCACUUCGGAUCCAAAGAGCCGUCGGGAUGGAUGGUGCUAAUAGUAGUGACUUGCAAAGCAUCUCAAAGGGACUGAGAAAGUGAUAGAGGUUCAUUCCGUGCUUGGGCUUUGGGGUACGUAGAGGAGCUGGUCUCUGGAAUCAGACCAUAAGAACUGAGUCGGAUAAAGGCUGCAGAUGCCUCUGGGUCUCCGUGGCUGAAUCACCAGAAUAUCCCAGAGGCACAGUCUGAAAGGUGUAGUCCCAGAUGUGGUCCCAGAUACAUUUUGGAGAUGACCGCCUGCCUGGGAAAUACAGUCAGAAGACAAGGCCUGGCAGGGUGUUCAGAUCUUCCAAGCUAUCUGGAACAAAAGCAAGACUGAAGCCAGCCUCUAUGCACGUGACCAGGAACAUGGGUGUGCUAUGGCCUAAGACAAUUUCUCAAGUUCAAGGGCAGUGAUAUCAAGAUCCAGGUUUGACUCCCAGCACUGAUGUGGCAGCUGAGAACCAUCUGUAACUCCAGCUCCACGAGACCGAGGCCCAGUCCCAGCCAUCUCACCCACAGAGGAGUGCAGGACACAUCCAGAGCCCCUCCUGGAAGCUGCAUGCUCGGCACCGCCUAUAAACCAUUGGCUCCACAUCUGGCUACCUCUUGCUGUAAAGAAAGCCAUACAACAGUCCUGAUAUCAUGCAGCCGUUUAGCCAGCUAGAACUCAGGCCUUCUGAGACCAGGAAGACAUGGACAUUGCAGGUCAAACAGCGACCUUUGUUACUGAAGACACGUGACAGCGUGUAAUCAGCCUUUAUCCGUCCCAUACACAGAUGCUGACAUAUCUGAAUGUUCUGCUCGUAGUAACCAAUGUCCAAGGUAACUAAUUUGGUUCUCAUACUAGCUUUGUGAAGGGAGCGUAGCUACCUCUGUUUUCAACCCAAAAAGCAAACAAACUAGGAAUUCUGAGAGACGGUUCUGUUGUUUAUAGCAAACGCAUCACCCAAUACAACAUCUCUUGCUCUGGGAAUCCCUGAAUGGGAGUGUACUGUGCAGGUCCGUGGGAGACUGAUGUAACCCUGUUACUGUGGGUAGUUACGUUUGCAGGGGUUUUUCAUUAUUGAUAUUUAUUUGCUAACAUCCUGUGCUGGGAAGGCAUGCCUUUCAAGGCUGUGAGCUUGAAUGAAAAGCCUUUCUGAUUAGACGUGUUGGCUAAAUAUCCCAGAGGAGACCAGAAUUACCAAUGGGUGGUUUCAAAUAGCUUGGCUUUGGGGGUGGGUACUGCCAACCCUGGCUUUGUGUGCUGUAGAAUUGUGAUGCUUCUCAAAGAUUCCCAUUCUUUCCCAAGGAGCCUCUUUUAACUACUGUAGACAAAAUAGGCCGAAUGGCUUUUCAUCACUAAAACUUUUUGGACAAGAAAUAUAUAAGCAAAAAUCGACAUUUCUAGGAACACAUUAUCAUGCAUGUUCUUGCAACUGCUUCUCUGUUUCUAUGUCAGUGAUGGAGCACCCCACAGGGGUCAAAUGCUUUGCUGUAAAUUUAUAAAUAGUUUGUAUAACCUGUGAUGUUUACUAUAAUUAUCUUGUCCUGUAGGUCUUUUGCCAAAUAAAACACCAGG